rnacentral:lncRNA from 1 species
GCCCACGUGCACUGAAGACCUCCUUCCAAUGACUAUAGAGGUCAUAUCUAAAUCUCUUAAGCAAUCUCCUCGAUAUCAAAGUCGUGCUGCAUAAAUAAUAUACAACAUAUAAGAUUUAAAAAAAAUAAAAGUUAAGUACUUAUCAAAUUAAAUAUAAAAUAAAUAGAAAGAUCUGUAUUUAAAAAAUAUAACAUAAUUUAUAUUUAGUUACUGAUAAAU